UGACCAAAUGACUAAAUUAUUAUCAUCAAAUUCUCUCCCGUUCCUCCCCAGCUCCCGUUUAUGCAAUUUCUCCUGGCGAUGUCCCAGCCAUGAUUCCGAUGGCGAGUAAGUUGAGGUCGGCAACGAUUGGCGACUCUCACCUUGCCCUCCCUCUUCAACUCUUAUUUCAAUCGUAUACCGCGUGCUCUGAAUUCUGAACCUUAAAAUCAUGGUUUGGGGGUUUGUUUGGUGGGGACAAGAAGGAUGAACCCAGCACGAGUGGGGAAAGCGUAACCAAUGUUUUGUAGAGUUUUGAUGCUCCGUCAAUCCUAAAUUUUGAAUACAAGAGAGCUGGGGUUUGAAGCAAUAUUUGUGUUUUAUGAGUAAUCAAAUCUUACAGGUUUAUUUAAUUUUUACGCAAUACAUGUGUUGGCUUUGGGUUCUUGUUUCUGUCCAUCCUUCUCAAUUUUGGAAUUACAAGAAUUUAAUUAUUGGGAAGAAUAAUGAAGAUGGCCUCUUCUUGAUGAAGAAGAUGGAUCAUUUGAGGAACUAGAAGAAGAUAUGUAAUUUCUAGGCAAGGAUGAGAAAGAGAUGUAAUUGAGCAUGGACCUCUCAAACAAAAGCAAGUUACAAAAGAGAACUUUUACAAGAUAUAAUUUGUUACUCUAUAAUUGUAGUAGCUUGUAGGGAUGAAUUGUAUAUGAAAAUAAUCUAUGAGAUGUUAUAGCUUGUAUUAGAUGGAAACUUAUGUUUUGUUUCGAUAUUUUGAGAGUUGGAAUUGAUAAAUUAUAAUUGUUACAAAACCAUAUGAGAUGUGAAAGUCUGUAUUAAUUCAAUGUUAAUAAACUUAUUAAUCAAUUUA